UACGGGGGGGGGCAAGCGUUGUUCGGAAUUACUGGGCGUAAAGGGCUCGUAGGUGGCCAACUAAGUCAUACGUGAAAUCCCUCAGCUUAACUGGGGAACUGCGUCUGAUACUGGAUGGCUUGAGUUCGGGGAGAGGGAUGCGGGAAUUCCAGGUGUAGCGGUGAAAUGCGUAGAUAUCGGAGGAACACCGGUGGCGAAGGCGGCAUCCUGGACCGACACUGACGCUGAGGAGCGAAAGCCAGGGGAGCAAAGCGGG
rnacentral:rRNA from 1 species